UACAGAGGGUGCGAGCGUUGUCCGGAAUCACUGGGCGUAAAGGGCGCGUAGGUGGCGACCCAAGUCGAUGGUGAAAGCUCGCCGCUCAACGGCGAGUCGGCCGCCGAUACUGGGUUGCUGGAGCACUGUAGAGGCAGAUGGGAAUUCCGGGUGUAGCGGUGGAAUGCGUAGAGAUCCGGAAGAACACCGGUGGCGAAGGCGGUCUGCUGGGCAGUUGCUGGACA
rnacentral:rRNA from 1 species